rnacentral:misc_RNA from 1 species
AAGUCGUAACAAGGUCUCCGUAGGUGAACCUGCGGAGGGAUCAUUAACACGUAUCCAAUACACGUUUACAAACCCAAACCGGUCUCCCAUGUGCCCAUAGAGGAAGGUGACUCGCAAGCCACAGGUGGAUCGAUCUCUUCGCGGAGAUUCCUACUUGCAGUCUACAGGUACCUUUGAGGCCAACCGAUUCUCUAUGGCGUAUAAAAGCCACCUGGGCUACUUGUGCCAACCCGGUAUCGACCCGGAGCCUUGUAGCCUUACUACUCCUUAAUUUUUUAAACCCCUUUCUUUUAAUAUAGAACUGAUCUUAUGUCACCUACCCAGUGUGUUAUAGCUCUGGUGUAUGUACAUGUAUACGAAACGCGAACAACUCUUAGCAACGGAUAUCUUGGUUCUC